UUGAUGUAUUUUCUUAUGCUGGAAUCAGCGAAGUCGAUCAGCCUCAGGCUGUUUGGCGAUGUUUCGUCAUGGAGGCUGAAUUUUCCGACAGUUGUGCCAAAGACACCUUCUUUACCCACCCUGGCGUUAAAAUCGCCAAGCACGAUUUUGACAUCAUGGCGGGGGCAGCGCUCAUAGAAAGCAUCUUUGGUCACAUCGUCCUUCUCUCGCAAAUAAGCGAUAUGUUGAAGAACCUCACUUUUAUGCGGAUUGUGGCUAGACGUUCAUCAAGAGCACUAAAUUUAUUAAUCUAAAUGUGAAAUAUUAGCUGUCAUCGAUUGGCCAACUGCUAUUGACAAGCCAAUCGAACAAACUUUCCAAAUUUUCAUACGAACUGGCAGCACUGAAAUGGAAUUGUCUAUACUUGGGCGAACUGAAGUCUUUGACAGUUCGCUAACAAAACAAUUUAAUUUUCAAAGUUGAAAGAGAUAGAAUAAUUUUAUGUUAAAAACGAAAAUGGAAAACAACGAGUAUUUUAAUUUGGUAAGAAAGUAAUGUAUUGUGUUUUUACUAAUAAAUUAUUGUGCAGGUUUCUCAGUAUUUACAAAAUGAAGAGGAGCUUAUGAUUGGGAGUGCUGGUAUACUAGCAUUUUUAGAUGAAUUGCCAUCUAGCUCCAGCUCGGAAUCUUCAUUAUGCUCUGAGGAAUCGGAAAGGGAGGAAAUCUCUAAAUGCCAAAAUUUGGCGAAGUCAUUGAUGGCUAUGGUGAGAAUAAAUUCAAAUCGCACAGGAGAUUGCGGCGUUCGACCGUGGAAUUUUUAAUAGACAAAUAUACAAAUAUCCCUAUGAGCCCAAAACAAAUACUGGUGGAAAAGAAAUUGUACCACCUAGAAAAAAAUUAUAUAUUUAUAUUUGGUACUUGAGAAACACCGUCACUUUUCGGCAACUUGCUAAUUUGUUUGGAGUGUCUUCUUCAACUGCUUGGAGUAUAGUUUCGGGUGUAACUAAUUAUAUCGAUUUCUCACGAAUACAUUCGGUGUCUAAACAGUACUGUCGCAGUUGCAAGAAAAAGAAAGUUUGAGGUUUACCAAAUGUUAUCGGUUUUAUAGACUGCACUCAUAUCCGUAUAAAAGCUCCUAGAGAAAAUAAAGAAAAUUAUUUCGAUAGAAAGCAUACAUAUAGUAUAGUGCUUCAAGCAGUUGUGGAUGCUGAUAAAAGUUUCGAAGAUGUAACUUGUGGUGACCCUUUUUCUCUUCAUAACAGCAGAGUUCUUCGUAGAUCGCAUCUUCUUGCACUAGCGCAGACAGAUUCAGAGAGACUAUUUCCAAGUGAGACUUUCAUUUUGGGCGAUUCAGCAUACCCUGCUACAAAUUGGUUGGUACCACCUUUUAAAGACUAUGGAAACUUGACCGCGUCGCAACGAAAUUUCAACAAAUUGCACUCAUCUACAAGUAUAGCUGUAGAAAAUGCUUUUGGUUUGUUAAAAACAAGAUUUAGAAGAAUAUUACAUUUUACCGAACAAUCAAAUAUUUGUUUUGUAGUGAAUAUAAUAGUAUGUUUACAUAUGAAAAUAAUCUCGUUCUAAUUUUACAUAUAGCCAAAUGAGAUUAUCAAUUCUCAAAUGUGUUGUAUUUGUUGUUGUAUUACACAUCUUUCUCUCGCUGUCGGUCAUAUUUGUUUACAUUUUCAUUUGACGUUUCUCCUCUUCUUCGCAAAAUUAUCGAUAAAACUAGGAAUAACACCGAAAAUCUAGUUGCAUAAAACGGGAUAAUUUUAUAAUCUCGGAUUAUCCAGAGAGCAAUUUUGAUGGGAAAUCUCGUUUCUUAAUUACAGAUUAUCGAGUUAAGCUCGUAAAUGGAGAUAAUCUCGUUAUAUGUAAACAUAGUAUAAUUGUUAGUGCUUGUGUUCUCCAUAAUAUAUGUAUAACUCUCGAUGAUUUAAGUAUUGAAAAUGACCAAGAUGAAGAUUUAGAAAACAGUUUACAAGAUGAGUCCCAUGAAUAUCAUCAACAAACAAAACUUUCAUGAAUUCAUUAUCUUAAAAUUAUAAAAAUUUAUCAAAAAUUCAUUUAAAUUCUAUAUAUAUAUUAAAAAGUAUCACAAAUUCAUUUAAACUUUAUAUAUAUAUAUAUUCAUAUUUCUAUGUACCCAUUAAAAAGUAACAAAAAUUCAUUAAUAUUGAUAUAUACACAUAAAAACUAUAAAAAACAUCACAAAUUCAUUAAAAUUGCUAUAUACACAUAAAAACUAUAAAAAAUAUCACAAAUUCACUUAAACUUAAAAGUAAUUUAAAUUAACAAAGUAUUAAAAAUUCAUUUAUAUAAUAUAUACACAAGUUUAAAUCUUUAAAACCUAUUACCUAAACAAAGAUCUUUUUGAGAUUGCCAAUUUUUCAUUUUCUAUAUCCCUUAUAGUUUGGAGUACAGAAUUGUUGAACUUUCUUGAAUUGUUUUUCGUCGGCGGUUUAGUUGUGUUGGUUGCAGCGGAGUUGUUGAGGUAUGUGGGACCGAAGAUGUAGUCGGAACGGGAGAUGUAGUAUAGUCAUGACAUGUAUCGGGAAGUGAUUGGCUGAUUAUAAGGCCAACAGAGAGCGUUUCUAGCCAGUACACUAUCUCCGAAAAUUUCUUCUAUAUAUGGAGCAAUACAUGGAGACGCACCCGUUCUGCUGGCAUUGUCUUUGGCCGUUUUAUACGCCGAUAGCAAAGUGCUCAUUUUAUUUUCCAAUGCUAUCACUGUUGUUGAAGAGUUCUAAUUACAUAAAGUUUUUACAAACAGCUAUAUAUAAACUUUUAACUUACGGUGAAGCCUUGUGCCAGCAUGUCCUCCAAUACAUGAGCGUAUGCGUUGCGAUUUUUUCUUUGAUAGAGAAAUUCUUCUCUUCGGGCUAAGUAGCAUUUUACCACCCCUUGGUUUCUACCACCGUCCAUGUCUUACGUUUUCUACAACAAAAUUAAUUUUUAUUACAGUUUAUUAUACAAUAAAUUCGAUACAAAAAUACUUACGAUUUAUCUUCGCCUGCUAUUUUCAAUUUCAAAUUAGUGUAUAACAAUUUUUAUAAUUUUGACAGCAAUUUGUCCUUUAAGCCGUUAACAAUAGUAAAAUGGUUCUAAAAUGUGUAAAACAAAACUUGGUAGCCCUCAGCAAGCGACGAUUGUAAUUUUAAUGAGGUAUUAGCAUACUCUCCAGCACGAAUUCAACUAGAUAUCUUUGUUGUUGCUUUCAUGUGCUGAACGCAUAGAAGACGACAAGCGACGAGCACAGCUACGCGACAACAGGCUUGUAGUUGUCGUUGACGCCAAAUUAGAAAUGUUUCUAAUUUUUCCGACGACAAUGGCCGCUGUAGAGCUACCACUAAAAUGUGAAAUGUAAAAUUAUUCAAAGUUCUCACAUGUAUGACGUUAUUUUGCCAGCAGAAACAUAAAAUAGCUUUGAUAUACCAUUUAUAAUAACAAUCGAUUUUUUAAAACAAAUAAAUGGUAAAUUUUUACAUUUUUUCCGCAAAUAAUUUCACUUUAAACUAAAUAUGUAAAUUUUAUUGAAGUGAAAGAUUUUAGUACGGCAACAAUGAAAUUGCUGUUUGAGAUGUCGCUGCCGUCUUCAAAAUAUUUGAGACGCUGGCUUCAAAGCGACAUUUGUGAUCAGCCGUCGCUACGUCGUGUCGUGUCGUCGUCUUUGUGUUCAGCACUUCACAUGUAAAAUUUUUGACAGGCGAGCAGCGCCCAAAGAUAGCGAGCAGAUAAGUGACCAAUCGAUGGCAGCUAUUGUUAAAUUAGUAUCUAUAUAUAAAUGAAUGUACGAAUAUUUGUAACAAUCGUAAUAAUAGUGAACUUUAAUGUGUAUUGUAUAAUAAUACAAAAAAAAACAUACUUAAAACUUUUGAGAAAUUUAAAUUAUAAAAAUUUAAUAAUUAAUACUAAGUUUUUUUUUUUAAUAUGUAAAUUUUGUCAAUGUAUAAAUGAUAGCUGCAAAAACGUUUGUAAAAAUGAAAGAUCACUUGUACUGAAAUGCUAAUAUUUACAAAUUAAUCUAUAAUAUUCUAUAAUAAUAAUUUAAAUUUUUCAUUUUUAAACGAAAAAGUAGGUGACCUAUACAAUGUAGACCAAUGAACUAAAUUUAGGUAACGAAAAGAUGACCCAACAAAUGACCAAUACCUGUUACCCUGAAAAUGAUAAAUCGAACCGUCUCCACUGAUAGGUGGCUGAUUAAAUCAAAAACUACUACAGGGGGCUCUGCUAACCACAGAGUGACAUAUGCCUUUCCAAAACAAUAGAAAAAUUAGAGCAGAAAGACAUAUGCAGGAUUUGCACCAAAAUCAAUGGGAGAGAGCGAGCAAGAUAAUGCGACAUGCCGUAAAAGAGGAGAAAUGGUAACUUUUUCCUGCUGCUAGAACAAAAGAGAGACCAAAAAAAUAAUACAAGCUUUCUUUACUGGUAACCAAUACACCAUAUAAAUAACUAUACUCGUCUUGCAGGGAUAUGUAUAACGUAUCGAAUAGUUGUACAAUUUUUGCUAUCGGACAAAGGCUGAAGGAAAAGUGGCAAAUAUCAAAUACCCCGUGCGUCCUGGAAGUGUAAGCUGCGCAUAUUAUGUGAGGACUGUUUUGGUUUCUUUAGAAGAUUCUGUAAUAUCUGUUCUUUCAUUAAUUUCACUAGUACUAGAUUCACCCAAUUUCUGGGAGAAGGGUUUCCAUAAAAUAUAAAGUAAAAUUUUAUUUUUCAGGGAUUCUAAAUCUAGCACGAGCAACGUUCUAGCCUUAACAUCCAUGCUCUUGCUGUAGUAUUUCCAUUGAACUAAUUUCGAUGAAUCCAUGUCCUUGUAAAGCGAUACAACAUCGUUAUGAUUCCUGAAUACAAGGAGAAAAUGAAUCAAAAAAGUCCUCCUAAUUAAACAUACAAGAAGUUUUUACAUUUUUAUGAUCACAAACAUUCACUUAAAUUUACCCUUUAAUUUCUGUGUUUUAGCUGCUAAUGGCACGGCCAACUGAGGUGCCGAUAAGUCCAAAAAUACUGCAACUGCUUUUCCCUCUAGCUCAUUGGCAAAAUCCAGUGGACACACGUCACGAUGAUAAACGGUUACAAAAGCACCUAAACCAUGUCAUUCCAAUUCUUCACGUGCUUGUGUUGACCAAAAGGUUUAAUUGCACGUAAAAAAAUGCCAUUAAACCUAAUAUCUGAUGUGUAAAUGAUUUCUGUUUGAUGUAGCAGCGUUUGCAUCCAUAGUUCUGUAUUUGCUUGCAGCACAUAUUCCAUCUAUUCGAAAGUUCUACGCAGCUACCAUAAGUGGCACCAAUUGGGUUGCGUACCUUUAACGCGCCGUAUGAGGUUUGAAAUAUCUGUAUGGAAAAUUCAUUAGAAUUUAAGGCAAGAUAAUAUUAUUAUAUUCAAAAUUAUUUACGUAUUCAAUGGUUUCGCCUUUGAUGUUGACUAUUGUUGGCGUAGCUUCUAUUGCGUACUUCGAAUUGUCAGCGCAGCGAAGAAUUACUGUAUCACCCUCUUCAAUUCCAUAUUUUGGCUUUAGAAAAUUUUUAUUUUACGUUUUACAUAAUUAAAAAUGCGUGCUUCAAUAAUUUAAACUUUAAUUAGGCUGCAGAUCACUGAUUUAAAUAAAACCCACAAAAUAAUACUUCACAAGCAGCCAUGAUAUAGCUCAAAACAAAACUUGUUCAAACACGAGAACUUUGGUGGUUUCAGGGUGCUGUAGGAGAGAAGAGUUGAGGUAAAUGUUUAUGCACAUCCCAGCAGAUUUAAAAGCGAGAUCUCCUGAAAUGAGGAAUGAAGGAGUCCUCCUAUUUACCUCUUUUAGGAGCAGUAAGGGAGAUUUUUUAAUUUUGUUCUUAUAUUGUGUUUUUUUUAUAUUUUAUUGUAGUGUUGACCUAAUUUUGUCAUCUUUUAGGAUCAAAAAAGGAGAUUUUAUACUUCUAUUGUGAUUUUUUUUACUUCAUUUCAGUAUUAACCUCCUUUUGUCCUCUUUUAGGAGCAAUAAAGGAGAUUUUUUAAUUUUUCGUAGCUUAAAAAUCGUACUUUUGCUUCAAAAAUUACAAUUUAACGGGAAAUAAUAACUGUUAAUUUUUGUCUUCAAGCAAUUGUUCAUUUCUACUGUGUUUUUUAAAGCGUGCAGACGUAAGUGUUAAAAUAAGUGUAAGUGAUAUAAAUAUCUAUUGAGUAUUAAAUAUUUUAAAUUGGUAAUUAAAUGUACUCUAAAAGGCAUUUAAAACGCCUAGUGAAUAAAAAAUUAAUUAAUUUAUAUAAAAAACAAAAUAAUACACAAAAUGAAAAUGAUGUGAAAAGUGUUAAUGAAAUUGAAAGUGAUACAGGCUCUAAAGAAGUUUUUGAAGAAGUUAGCCAUUUCAAAACAGUUAGCCAUUUGGGCAAUUGAAAAUCGAAUAACAAAGGCCGCAUGUAAUAGUCUUCUUGCAAUUUUAAACUCACAAAAUUUAAAUGUGCCUAUAUCAAAAAAUAAGCUCUUACAAUCUUUCCAACCAUUUAAUAAUUUACUGCAAGCUUUUUGCAAUUGCUGAAGACGAUCACUUUCAUUUUGUUCCCAUUUUGCAUCAUUGUUACUAAAUUAAUAGAUAAUAAUAAUAAAAACAUAACAUAAUACUUGUAAAAUAAUAUAAUAUUAUACACUUAAAUAUAGAUAAAUAAAAUGGCGUCACAAAAUAACUUUUUAUUCAAUUCUCUCGUUAAGUUUAUCUCUUGCAAAUAUUUUUUCAUAACUCUUUAGCACAUUUUUUUCCUAGAAUGCGGAAAUUCUUCAAUUUUAAGUGGAUAAUAUAUCAAUGUGUCCACCAAUACUUCCCGAAACACCUCCUCCUGGCAGAAAAACAUGGAACAAAGAAUACGGAAGAUAGAGGAAAUAUCGGCGCAGAACACUAUACUCCUGGAUUCCUAUACUUCGGAUUAUUGACAUAUUGCAACCGAAGAAGAUUGAAUUAAUGAUAUUUCCUAUUAAAAACAUGAAUGAUUUAGCAUCUACAGAGUCCUUGCUUUUGAAUAAGCCUGAGGAAGAAAUUGUAAGAUGUUACUAAACAGUUUGAGUUUAUUAUAGGUGGCGUAUCUGAAGCAAAAAUUUUCAGAGAGACCCCCAUCAAAAAUUUUGGAUGAAGUGAUUGCGGAGUCCCUGCUCCUAAAAGUGAAUUGGGAUGGAGCCAAAAAAAAAGUUGCAUUGAAGAAUUAUGCACUUUUCAAUAAAUUUCUUUACGAGGCCUUAAAAGAUGAUUACUCAUACCCUGAUUUUGAGGCAAAGAUCAAAAAGGCGUUUCUCAAAUGUAAGGCUCAGUUCUACAGGAACACUUAUAAUAUAAAAAAAACAAUAGAUUUCAUGUACAUUCAUUUAAUUAGAAAACUUUAAUAAAAAAUAAUAUUAUAAAAAUUUGUUUUUGUUAAAGUAAUUGCAGGUUGAAAAUAAUAUAGGAUUUAUCAUAGAGAUCUCCUAUAUCAGUAAUCAUAGAGAUCUCAUUUAGGAGUAAUCAUAGAGAUCUCCUAUAGCAGUACAGGAGUAAUGGUAAAGGAGUACUCGCGUUCCAAUGACAUGCAAUGUUAAAAACGAGUAUACAAUUUUACGUGUAUUUACACACGAGUAUUAGGAGUAAUAGGGAGUAUAGGAUAUCUCCUAAUCCAGGAGGUUUCAAACGAUCAUCCUAAAAUCUGCUGGGAUUGUGCCCUUUGUUGCAUAUGUGUGUAUGUAGUGGUGUUAUUAUUUCUUUGAAUGUGUUGGAGUUUCAGUACCCAUGACUUGCUUGGACACAAUAGUAACUUUUUGUAGUUAAAUGGCAAUCUCGGAAGUUAGAGUGGCAACAUUCAUUAGCCCUAAUUUUUGUAUGUAUAAGAGAGAGAUGCACGUACUACAUGACCGCCGUUCAUAUGAAAAGAAAAUUAGAAGUGAGGUGAUGUAAGUGCGUAUUAAUAAUUUGUUACUGAUAUUAUUUUAUAUGUAUAGUAAAUUUUCUCUUUACGGAAUAUACCUGGAGAAAAUGGUCUUGGAAGGCAAAGCGAGCUGCAACGUACAUCUGAUAUUUGUAAACUUCGGAAGAAAAACUAAAACUUAAGUCUACUCCCAUGAAGGAAUGUAGCUAUACUUGGUAUGGGUGCGGGGAAUCCUACCAGCAUUUCUUCAAGACAUGCAACGGCAAUCGCUCAUCAAUCGUACAAUACAAAUUAGAAUUAGAAUUCGACUUAUGAUGGAAGCAGCACUCGUAGUCUUUUGUGUUAGGAAGUAACAAAAAUCAUGCACCUAGUAAUACAACGCAAAAUAUGCUACAACAACAGAGCAUGCAUAUUGGUAUAAUUACUUCCAAUGGUUAUAAUAAAGAAUGGUGGAUAAUCGACAAAUAAUGUAACAUGUGUACCAGAGAGCUGCAACGGGUAUAUCAUUUUCGUGCACACUCGAAUGUCCACUCUGAUUUUGUUUGAUCAAACUUUUCGGUAUGAAUACACGUAUUGAUCGCUUGGAGACAUGUUCAAAACGAACGAGCCUUUCGCGACACUCGAAACACAAGCAUAUAUGCUUGUUUUAACAGAAUGCCGAGUUGACACUCGUUUGUGAACGAGCUGGAACUCUAACCCGAUCGUAUUGAAUGUGAUCGAGUCACACACGAGUGUGCACAAAAUUUGAGAAUAUGUAUGUAUGUAAUUGGCAGUCAUGCUAUUAUUGCGUAGUGAUUGUCAACGAUUAUUGGUUUUGUUUGUUUUGUUUACUUUUUCUAAUUCAUAAUGACAACGAUAGAAAAUUUCUGUUGUGAGAACAUUUCCAAUGGCACAAACACCUUAUCUGGUCUACACCUGAAAUUUGUGAUUUAAAAAAAAUUAAAAUAUUUAAGUGCAAUGAAAUGUUUUUUAUUUAUGAUUUAUAAAUUAAUAAGUCUUGAGUGAAUUCUAUUCUUAAAUUGAAUUAUUCUUUUAUAAUAUGUACUAUGUACGUCUAAUAUUCAAAUUAUUCAACCAAAAAAGCUAAGACAGAACGCGUCAUCCCGACGCCAACAUAUGUGUGUACGUAUGUUUAUCUAUUAUUUUUUGGUUUUCGAGUGCCACUCGAGUGUGUUGAUCACAAUCAACACGUGCACGACACACCCGAAAAUAUAAUAUACAUAAAAUCCGAGUUUGCUGCUUGAACUCGAACAUAGGAGCGUCGUGAUUGUUCGUUUGCGUUAUUUUCGCUUCGGGUUCCAAACUCGAUCGAACACGUGUUUGAAGAGUGUUACGACACACUCGUACCGAAUUUAAGCUAGUGUGAUUGAACACACUUGAACAUACCCGAAGCUGCUCUCUGAUGUGUACAUAUGCCUUCAACCAGCAAGUAAUCACUAUUCAGACAACAACACCAUCAGUAGUUCAACAAUUAAUACAUAUUCAAAUUCCCAACAAAAGCCAAAAUCGCACACCGCAACCGGCAAAUAACAAGGGCAUCGGAUGAUGUACAACAAAUUACAUCGGACUUUUGGAGUAGCAGUUUCACAACUUAUUUUCGACGUGCUAAACACAGAGUCUCAUAUAUUGCCCUUGGAUCUACACAAUAGGUAGUUAACAUAAUAACAGAGCUCGAAAAAAAAACUAAAAAUGAAGAAAUAGAAGUGGUUUAUCCUGCUUCUGAUUUGACUAUGCUGAACUUACAGUUUAUCAUUUUUAAUAUUAUGAUUGUUAAUUUAUAAAUUUUGAACGUUCGAAAUAGCACUAAAUUUAUUAAUCUAAAUGUGAAAUAUUGUUAAAUUAACAUCUAUAUACAAAUGAAUGUACGAAUAUUUGUAACAAUCGUAAUGAAAUUUAAUUUGUAUUGUAUAACAACACAAAAAAACAAUACUUAAAACUUUUGGGAAAUUGUAAAUUAUAAAAAUUUAAUAAUUAAUACUAACAUUAUAUGUAAAAUAUGCAAAUUUUGUCAAUGUAUAAAUGAUGAAAACGUUUGUAAAAAUGAAAGUUUACUUUGUACUGAAAUGCUAAUAUUUAAAAAUUAAUUCUAUAAUAUAAAAAUGAAUCGCAAAAUGUGUUGCUAAGCGCAUAACUCGAGAACCGCUGAAACGAUUUCGCAACUUCUUUGUUUAGAAU